GACGAACGCUGGCGGCGUGCUUAACACAUGCAAGUCGAACGGCAAGGCCCUGCUUUUUUGGGGUGCUCGAGUGGCGGACGGGUGAGUAACACGUGAGUAACCUGCCCUUCACUUUGGGGUAACUUCAGGAAACUGGGGCUACUACAGGAUAGGAUACCCUGCUCCGUGGUGAGGGUUGGAACGUCUCGGCGUGUGGGGAUGGACGCGCGGAUUAUCGGCUUGUUGGUGGGGUAGUGGAAUACCCAGGCUUGGACGGGUACCCGGCCUGAGAGGGUGACCGGCCACAUGGGGACUGAGAUACGGCCCAGACUCCAACGGGAGGCAGCAGUGGGGAAUAUUGCACAAUGGGCGGAAGCCUGAUGCAGCAACGCCGCGGUCGUGAUGACGUCCUUCGGGUUGUAAACCGCUGUCGCCUGUGACGAAGCGGUAGUGACGGUAAUGGGUAAAGAAGCACCGGCUAACUACGUG
rnacentral:rRNA from 1 species